rnacentral:rRNA from 1 species
CGGAACGGGUGAGUAAUGUAUCGGAACGUGCCCAGUAGUGGGGGGUAACUACUCGAAAGAGUAGCUAAUACCGCAUGAGAACUGAGGUUGAAAGCGGGGGACCUUCGGGCCUCGCGCUACUGGAGCGGCUGAUAUCAGAUUAGGUAGUUGGUGGGGUAAAGGCUUACCAAGCCUGCGAUCUGUAGCUGGUCUGAGAGGACGACCAGCCACACUGGGACUGAGACACGGCCCAG